AUUGAACGCUGGCGGCAGGCCUAACACAUGCAAGUCGAGCGGAUGAAGGGGGCUUGCUCCUGGAUUCAGCGGCGGACGGGUGAGUAAUGCCUAGGAAUCUGCCUGGUAGUGGGGGAUAACGUCCGGAAACGGGCGCUAAUACCGCAUACGUCCUGAGGGAGAAAGUGGGGGAUCUUCGGACCUCACGCUAUCAGAUGAGCCUAGGUCGGAUUAGCUAGUUGGUGGGGUAACGGCCUACCAAGGCGACGAUCCGUAACUGGCCUGAGAGGGUGAUCAGUCACACUGGAACUGAGACACGGUCCAGACUCCUACGGGAGGCAGCAGUGGGGAAUAUUGGACAAUGGGCGAAAGCCUGACGCAGCCAUGCCGCGUGUGUGAAGAAGGUCUUCGGAUUGUAAAGCUCUUUAAGUUGGGAGGAAGAGAAGUAAGUUAAACCCUUCAUGUUUUGACGUUACCAAAAGAGAAAGCACCGGCUAACUUCGUG
rnacentral:rRNA from 1 species